UACGUAGGUGGCAAGCGUUGUCCGGAAUCACUGGGCGUAAAGGGCGCGUAGGUGGCGCGACAAGUCGGUGGUGAAAGUUCGACGCUCAACGUCGAAUCGGCCACCGAUACUGUUGGGCUUGAGCACUGUAGAGGCUAAUGGAAUUCCGGGUGUAGCGGUGGAAUGCGUAGAGAUCCGGAAGAACACCGGUGGCGAAGGCGGUUAGCUGGGCAGUUGCUGACACUGAGGCGCGGACAGCGUGGGGAGCAAACAGG
rnacentral:rRNA from 1 species